CGGUGAGCCUGUGAAAACCGACCGAGUUCGUUGUGAUCUCGCGAAAACAACAAGUUGGGUUGUAAACUUGUAAAACAACCGGCUGUAAUCCUAGGGAUUAUAGUGAACUCCCAAGUGCGGCUUGGGGAGUGGACGUAGGAGCAAGAGUUGGCUCCGAACCACUAUAAAAUCUCUUGAGUUUGUAUUGAUUAAUUGUCUCUUCCCCUCUCUCCAUUCACUACAUCUAGUAAUCUAUUUAACCUGCUUGCAAUAGAUU
rnacentral:lncRNA from 1 species